rnacentral:rRNA from 5 species
UUUUCUUAGUAGCGGCGAGCGAAAAGAAAUCAGUUCAGCACUAAGUCACUUUGUCUUUAUGGCAAAUGUGAGAUGCAGUGUAUGGAACGUCUACAAUCUAGUAUGAGAAAUUAAUGAUUUAAGUCCUUCUUAAAUGAGGCCAAUUACCCAUAGAGGGUGCCAGGCCCGUAUAACGUUAAUGAUUACUAGAAGGCGAUUCCAAAGAGUCGUGUUGCUUGAUAGUGCAGCACUAAGUUGGUGGUAAACUCCAUCUAAAACUAAAUAUGACCAUGAGACCGAUAGUAAACAAGUACCGUGAGGGAAAGUUGAAAAGAACUCUGAAUAGAGAGUUAAAUAGUACGUGAAACUGCUUAGAGGUUAAGCCCGAUGAACCUGAAUAUCCGUUAUGGAAAAUUCAUCAUUAAAAUUGUAAUAUCUUUACUUUUUUUUUUUUUAACAAAAAGAAAGAAAAUAUUAUAAUGAUAGUGUGCAUUUUUUCCAUAUAAGGACAUUGUAAUCUAUUAACAUAAUAAAAUAUUUAUCAAAAAGUCAUAAACAUAAAGUUUAUUUAAAUUAUUAUGCUUGCAUUUUAACAUAGAAUAAAUGUUAAUGAUUUGAUAAAGUGUUGAUAAAUUUAUCAUAUAUACAAUGCUUUAAUUUUUCGGAAUUAUAUAAUAGCAUAAUUAUCAUUGAUUUUUAUGUUUAUUAUAUGCAUUUGUAUGAUUAACAAUGCGAAAGAUUCAGGAUACCCUCGGGACCCGUCUUGAAACACGGACCAAGGAGUCUAACAUAUAUGCAAGUUAUUGGGAUUUUAUAAACCUAAUGGCAUAAUUAACUUAACUGUUAAAUAUAUGGGAUUAGUUUUUAAACUAUUUAUAGUUUAUUAACACAAUCCCGGGGCGUUCUAUAUAGUUAUGUAUAAUAAUAUUUAUAUUAUU